CUACCGAUUUAUCUGCAACAUGGU
rnacentral:siRNA from 1 species